UGCAAGCUAAGACUUAAAAAAAAAAAGCCAACAUUUAAGUGAGCAGAGUUUAAUGUUUACUUUGUGCUAACCAAUAAAAUACAGAAGAAGCAACCAAACAAACAAACCCAUCAAAAUCCAAGUACAACUCUACACAGCAAAACAGAAAAAGGUUAAUGUACUCAACACACUAUUAAUUUGCAGUCCAAAUAAUGGAUAGUGAAUAGAGAGAGAUAAUUCCAAAUUGAAACCCUACUCCAUUUUAAUUUUUUCCAAUUCACAUUAGGUAGCCCAUGUGCUUUGGUAACCCCCUUGUUCUUUUGUUCUUAUUCAUCACUCAUAUGAUCCCACACUACCUAUACCUAAAUCAUCAUCUUUCACAAGCUAAAAUAGUGGACUUUUCUUUGGAAGGUCCCUAAUUUUCAUUCAUUACUUCCUUUUCCCCCUUAUUGGAUUGAUGAUUCUAUGAUUUCUCCUUUUUUUUUUUAUCCUAUUAUUCCAUGUAUUGUUGGCUUCUUGGUGAAGAAAAGAACCUUCUACCAAAAAUAGAAAAUUAUCUAUAGAAGAUUUUCAUUUAAAAAAAAUAAAAAUUUAUAAAUUUACUUAUUUUUGAAGUUUAAAUUUAAAUCGUGACUAUUGAAUUUGGAUGUAUUUUUCUAAUAUUAAUUUAUCUUUAUCACUCUAAUUAUAGAUUGAUUUUAUUUGAUGGUGGAUAGUUGAGAUAUUUUAAUUUAAUAUUACUAUCAGAAAUUUAAAAUUAAUUAUGUCCGAUCAUGCGGCCAACUUUUCAACCCCCAACUGGUGAAUAUAAUUUUUUUUUAUUGAGUAUUAUAGUAUAAUUAAAAAAUAAAAAAUUAUAUUUUUUCAACUUUAUUUAUAAUUGUACUUUUCUUUUAUCAACUCUAUCCUAAGUGCUAAACUUAUGGUAUUCAUAAAUUAGUAAGAAAAUGGAGUUGAAAAUUCAAUUUA
rnacentral:misc_RNA from 1 species